UAAAACCAUAGAUGGUCUCUGUUCAUCAAG
rnacentral:piRNA from 1 species